rnacentral:rRNA from 1 species
AUUGAACACUGGCGGCAGGCCUAACACAUGCCAGUCGAACGGUAACAGGAAGCAGCUUGCUGCUUUGCUGACGAGUGGCGGACGGGUGAGUAAUGUCUGGGAAACUGCCCGAUGGAGGGGGAUAACUACUGGAAACGGUAGCUAAUACCGCAUAACGUCGCAAGACCAAAGAGGGGGACCUUAGGGCCUCUUGCCAGCGGAUGUGCCCAGAUGGGAUUAGCUAGUAGGUGGGGUAACGGCUCACCUAGGCGACGAUCCCUAGCUGGUCUGAGAGGAUGACCAGCCACACUGGAACUGAGACACGGUCCAGACUCCUACGGGAGGCAGCAGUGGGGAAUAUUGCACAAUGGGCGCAAGCCUGAUGCAGCCAUGCCGCGUGUAUGAAGAAGGCCUUCGGGUUGUAAAGUACUUUCAGCGGGGAGGAAGGGAGUAAAGUUAAUACCUUUGCUCAUUGACGUUACCCGCAGAAGAAGCACCGGCUAACUCCGUG